AUGGCGGAGUUGCAGCAGCUGCGGGUGCAGGAGACGGUGGACUCCAUGGUGAAGAGUCUAGAGAGAGAACAUCCAGAAGAUGCAGAGUCUUAUGUUCCCGUGCAGCACCAGCUGUUGUGAGGACAGCUAGGCAUCCAUGCAGUAAGUGCACCAGUGCAUCGAGCGCUGCCAUGCACCUCUGGCUCAAGUCCAGGCCUUGGUCACCAGUAAGUUGGAGAAGUUCCAUGACCGCCAGGCCUGGUGCACCAAACAUUGCAACGACAAAGCCAAAGAUUCAAUAGAUGCUGGGAGUAAGGAGCUUCAGGGGAAGCGGUAGCUGGACUGUCGUGUGACCAAGUGUGUGGAUGACCACAUGCACCUCAUCCCAACCAUGACCAAGAAGAAGGAGGCUCUCU
rnacentral:lncRNA from 1 species